rnacentral:lncRNA from 1 species
CAUUUAUUCUGAGAGUUUAUAAAGUAGUUAUCAUAGAUAAGUGUAUGCACACAUAAAUAAAAGAGAGAAUUAGAACAUCAUCAGAUUCUCUUCCUAUACUAGUCAUUAUAUUAACCCAACACUAAUCAUUUUCUAAUUUCAGAACCAGAAGAAAAAUUUUAUGCUGAAUUUAAAUACCAUGUUUUUUUUCUCUUGCAGUGAAAGAUUUUUAUUGGCACGUAUGAGAACACAUGCAUGCCUUCUGUAAUGAGUGAAUGCAGGUGGAUUCAUUAAAGCACCUUUUCUCAAAAUUGAACACGGUUUUAACAAUUCACAAAAUUACUAUUACUGGAUUUAUGGUUUCACUCCUCUCAGGUAAAUAUUGCUUUCAAGAAUGUGGAUUCUUUUAAUAAAUGACUAUAUCUUUAAAAUAAGAAAAUUAUACCUUUAUUUAAAAGGAAAAUGUUUGGAAAAGAAAUAAGCGGUAAGUGUUGAAUAAUAUUGAAUUUUGAAAAAUCAACAUGAAAUUGUAUAGAUUUGACUGUU